AGAGUUUGAUCCUGGCUCAGGAUGAACGCUGGCGGCGUGCCUAACACAUGCAAGUCGAACGGGGGCCUUCGGUUUAAGGGGAUGGAUUACCAAACCCGGAACGCACGGGCCUUAGGGGGAGACGGGUGAGUAACACCUGGGGAACCUGCCCCGAUCCGGGGGAUAACUGCUGGAAACUGGUGCUUAUAACCCCUAACCCAAGGGGACCCAUGUUUCUUUCUUGAGAGCUCUGGUGGGGCCGGAUGGACCCUUGUCUGAUUGGCUGGUUGGCGGGGUAACGGCGCAACAAUGCGACGAUCACUUGCCAGGCUGACAGGGCGGACUGCCACUUUGAGACUGACACACCUCCCACACUCCUACGGGAGGCAGAAUUGUGGAAUAUGGCACAAUGGGGGAAACCCUGAUGCCGCGACGCCGCCUGAAUGAAGAAGCGUUUGGGGGCGUAAAGAUCUGUCAGCGGGGAAGAAACUCGUUUCGCAGAGAGCAGGAGGCGGUUCCCGACCAAGAAGCCCCGGCUUAAUUCGUUCCCGCCAGUGGGGUUAUUAGUUGGGGGCCAACGUUAUCCGGAUUCUCUGGGUGUAAAGGGAGGGUAGGCGGCGAGACCAAUCCGGAGUGAAAGGCCGGGGCCUAACCCCGGGACUGCUAUGGAAACUUCCUGGCUGGAGUACUGGAGAGGUCAGUGGAAUUCCUAGUGUAGCGGUGAAAAUGCGUAGAUAUUAGGAGGAACACCAGUGGCGAAGGCGGCUUGCUGGACGGUAACUGACGUUGAGGCUCGAAAGCGUGGGGAGCAAACAGGAUUAGAUACCCUGGUAGUCCACGCCGUAAACGAUGAUCACUAGGUGUCGGGGGUCAGAAGGCCCCCGGUGCGGCAGCCACCGCAGUAAGUGUUCCACUUGGGGAGUAGGUUGGCAGGAAGGAAAUUCAAGGGAAUGGAGGGGGACCGGCCCAAGGGGUGGAGCAGGUGGUUUAUUUGGAAGCAAGGGGAAGACCCUUACCCGCCCUUGACAUCCCCUCGGAGGGCCCGUAUCGGGGCCUUCCUUUCGGGGCGUGGGAGCCAGGUGGUGCAGGGUGGUGUUCAGUUGGUGUGGUGAGAUGUUGGGUUAAUUCCCGCAAGGAGCGCACCCCCUAUCCCUAGUAGCCAGCGGAGAAGCCGGGCACUCUAGGGAGACUGCCGGGGACAACCCGGAGGAAGGCGGGGACGACGUCAAAUCAUCAUGCCCCUUAUGGCCGGGGCGACACACGUGCUACAAUGGCGCAGACAGAGGGAGGCGAGGCGGCGACGCGGAGCGAAUCCCAAAAAAAGCGUCCCAGUUCGGAUUGCAGCCUGCAACUCGGCUGCAUGAAGCCGGAAUCGCUAGUAAUCGCAGAUCAGAACGCCGCGGUGAAU
rnacentral:rRNA from 1 species